rnacentral:lncRNA from 1 species
CCAGCUGCCUCACGGCCUCCUCCGCCACACCUCUCCUUCCUUUAGAAAAGGAAUGGCAAGGCCCCAACAUUUUCCUUUUGAAAAUACAUUGGAAGAACAACUUUGUCUCUUAGCCUUUUCAGUACUGUCCCUUUCCCCGCAAGCCAGCAAACCCCAGAAAGAGACUGAUCACAUUUUCAAGCCUGCUGGUGCCUACCAGUGGCAGCAAGGACGCCCCCAGAUGGGCAAGCGGCCUCGCGUGUCCACGGACAGCGGUUCUUUCUACAUGUUUGGGCCUGGGUCCUUGGACCAGUCCAAAACUCAAAUGAAAGCCUCGGACCACAUCUGCGAACCCCCUGGCUGGCCAGUCCUCCCCACCGCUGUGCACAACAGGGAGAAAGACGCGAACGAGGGCACACACACACACAGAGACAGAGAUCACCGGACACACGCCAACAAAGACACACAGCUAUGAACGGGCACGGGCUCGGCGGCCUCCCCGCCCCGGCGGAUGGUGGUGGCGCGGUCGCAGAGGUACAGGGAGUAACAGUAAAUACCAACAAGGACGGAGACGCUUAUCAAGUCUGCCGGCAGCCUGACAGAUGCUCUCGGGCUGGGGAAGGCACUUAGGACAAUCAUCGCUCCUAAAAGAGAAAAUGAUUAUACGCUACCCAAACCCUAAGUACAAGCUAAAGAUAUUCACCUCGUUGAAGCCAUUCCUCAACUAGCCCCUUGGCACUUGCUGGAAUGAUUCGCAGCACGAGCUCUACUUUCUCAUUUUCUGCUGACUCCAUGUGGGUAAUUCCUUUCUCGUGAUUAAAAGUGAGCUUGGCAGAGCCUUCAAAGCGGCCGUAGGUGUGGGGAGGCUCCCAGGGCAUCCUUUGUCUGAGGCAGGUGGCUAAUCAUUCAUCAGUGGCCGGACGGGCGGGCCCGGGGAAUAGUCAGGCACCUACAAAUAAUUUUUUAAAGGCAAACUUUAUAGAGAGCUUUAUGUAAACAUAUUUUUAUAAUAAAACAUGCAGUGGACGGAUGAAAUGAACUGUUUACCUUGGAAAAGAAUAGGCAGGCUUUUCUCUUCCAAUAAUCACUCCGGCCUUUCUGAAUGUCAUCCAGAAGCGAUUCUGCCUCCUUCGGCUUAUCCAGCAUCUGAGGCUGUGAGAUAACCCUCGGAGCACUGGCCUCCUUCUCUGGCCCCUCCAUUAUUAGCCUCCUGGUGGGUGAGAUAGAAUACAGUGAAUGUAAUAAUCGGACUUCACACAACAGGCUCGCUCUCUCUUUUAAAUGGAAAAUCCCCUUAUUACAAAACAAGGGGUGUUCUUUUUCUUCUACCUUUAAGUAGGACUGCCACAUUCAUUGCUUUUUUACAAAAACGCAGCUGCUUUUUAAGCUACAGAUAAAUAGAAUCUGCUAGGCGGUAAUUCGACUCAGUCUGAAUGCAUUAUUUUCUAAGACACUUUGGCGAGGCGCUUUUUAUUAUAAACUGGAAUGAACAAGGAAGGUCCUUUUCUCUUCUAAUUAUGAAUGUGUUUUGUUCCCUACUAUUAACCUACAAUGUCAGAUUGAUCUUCUUCUUCUUCUUUUUCUGCAGCCAUUUCGAUAAAUCAACAUUUUUUUUUUUCUUUUGGAAAAUUAGAGGGCUGAUGAUUAAGUCUUCAUGGACUCCAGUGACAAAAAUAAAAACAGCACGAGGGAGACGGGAAUGCAAAUGCUGUGACCAUAAAUAAAGACAAUGAAGUGGCCCUCUGAUGUCCAAGGUCCUAUAUUUUGACACGGCAACUUAAAAGUGACUUAUUUGUUAAUGUCAUGUUAAUUCAUUUUAGUAAAAAUAAGGCUUUCCAGGUAUGUUUGCAUAAAGCUGAUCUUGUAUUGAUUCACUUGGAAAGGUAGGAGGCAUAACGUUAACAGUUCUAUACGGAGGCCCAGACCCCUGGUGUCCGUUGUAUAUGUGUUCAUUACGCAUCAUCGCAUCAUCGUCUGUAACUUUCUCAGGCUUCCCCUCCCUUCUGGAAGCAACGCAAUUCCAACAAAAGAGGGACCACUGUGAUGACGCAUGUUCAGUUGGCAUUUCUGCUGCCAUCAAGUCCAAAGAUAAACACUGAGGAAAACGGCAAGUUCCUAAUCAUAUCAAAAGGCAGUCUAGAGACUCUGCCUGCCUAGCUGUUGGUUUAAUUCUGA